rnacentral:pre_miRNA from 1 species
UAUGUAUUCCCUUCGUUCGAAAUUACUUAUCACAAAAAUGGAUGUAUCUACGACUAAAAUACUUUUAGAUACAUUCAUUUCUUGGACGAGUAAUUCCGAACGGAGGGAGUAGCUC